UAGGAGGUUAGUGGCGACGGGUGAGUAACACGUGGGCAAUCUGCCCUGCACUCUGGGACAAGCCCUGGAAACGGGGUCUAAUACCGGAUAAUACUGUGCCCCUCAUGGGGGAUGGUUGAAAGCUCCGGCGGUGCAGGAUGAGCCCGCGGCCUAUCAGCUUGUUGGUGGGGUGAUGGCCUACCAAGGCGACGACGGGUAGCCGGCCUGAGAGGGCGACCGGCCACACUGGGACUGAGACACGGCCCAGACUCCUACGGGAGGCAGCAGUGGGGAAUAUUGCACAAUGGGCGAAAGCCUGAUGCAGCGACGCCGCGUGAGGGAUGACGGCCUUCGGGUUGUAAACCUCUUUCAGCAGGGAAGAAGCGAGAGUGACGGUACCUGCAGAAGAAGCGCCGGCUAACUACGUGCCAGCAGCCGCGGUAAUACGUAGGGCGCAAGCGUUGUCCGGAAUUAUUGGGCGUAAAGAGCUCGUAGGCGGUUUGUCACGUCGGGUGUGAAAGCCCGGGGCUUAACCCCGGGUCUGCAUUCGAUACGGGCAGACUAGAGUGUGGUAGGGGAGAUCGGAAUUCCUGGUGUAGCGGUGAAAUGCGCAGAUAUCAGGAGGAACACCGGUGGCGAAGGCGGAUCUCUGGGCCAUUACUGACGCUGAGGAGCGAAAGCGUGGGGAGCGAACAGGAUUAGAUACCCUGGUAGUCCACGCCGUAAACGUUGGGAACUAGGUGUUGGCGACAUUCCACGUCGUCGGUGCCGCAGCUAACGCAUUAAGUUUCCUCGCCUGGGGGAGUACGGCGCAGCUAAACUCAAAGGAUUGACGGGGGCCGCACAGCAGCGGAGCAUGGUGG
rnacentral:rRNA from 1 species